AGAAGAAGAAACACUUGUGUGACAACUUGUGCACAGGAGCAGGUGUGUCCCACUGGUGGUCUGGAGAUGAGUUAAUUACAUUACUACCGGUAGGGUGUUUUUUUUUUUUGAAACGAACCAGGCAGGAGAGCUGCCGAUUAUAUUAAAAAGAAGGAGUUAGAAACACCCAAAGGUGUAGAAAGGGAAAAAAAACUAUUAUUUACAGU
rnacentral:lncRNA from 1 species